rnacentral:rRNA from 1 species
CCUACGGGAGGCUGCAGUGGGGAAUCUUGGACAAUGGGCGCAAGCCUGAUCCAGCCAUGCCGCGUGAGUGAUGAAGGCCCUAGGGUUGUAAAACUCUUUCGUGGGGGACGAUAAUGACGGUACCCCAAGAAGAAGCUCCGGCUAACUUCGUGCCAGCAGCCGCGGUAAUACGAAGGGGGCUAGCGUUGUUCGGAUUUACUGGGCGUAAAGCGCGUGUAGGCGGACUGGAAAGUUGGGGGUGAAAUCCCGAGGCUCAACCUCGGAACUGCCUCCAAAACUUCCAGUCUGGACUCAAGCAGAGGCAAGUGGAAUAUCUGGUGUAGCAGUGAAAUGCGUAGAUAUCAGAUAGAACACCAAUGGCGAAGGCAGUUACCUGGCUCAAUACUGACGCUAAAGCACGAAAGUGUGGGGAGCAAACAGGAUUAGAUACCCUGGUAGUC